rnacentral:rRNA from 1 species
GGUGAACGCUGGCGGCGUGCCUAACACAUGCAAGUCGAGCGGUGCAGUUUGAAGCUUCGGUGGAAAGCUGCAUAGCGGCGGACGGGUGAGGAAAACGUAGGAACGUGCCCCUUGGAGUUGGAUAGCCACGGGAAACUGUGGGUAAACCGACAUAGACUCGAGAGAGUAAAGGCCGAAAGGCGCCAAGGGAGCGGCCUGCGGCCCAUCAGGUAGUUGGUAGUGUAAAGGACUACCAAGCCGACGACGGGUAGCCGGUCUGAGAGGAUGGCCGGCCACAAGGGCACUGAGAGACGGGCCCUACUCCUACGGGAGGCAGCAGUGGGGGAUUUUGGACAAUGGGCGAAAGCCUGAUCCAGCGACGCCGCGUGGAGGACGAAGCCCUUCGGGGUGUAAACUCCUUUUCUCAGGGAAAAAAGGAUGAUGGUACCUGAGGAAUAAGCCCCGGCUAACUACGUGCCAGCAGCCGCGGUAAACUCGUCGUCUA